ensembl:lncRNA
AUGAUUGUGCUGAGUGUUUCCCAUCUAAUUCUAUCAACAGGCUAUGGCUCUUUGGGUACAGGAUACGCACAGCCAGGUGGUGUAGCUCCAGGAGGAUAUGGAGGAUAUCCACAAACAUAUCCAGGAGGAUAUGGAGCAGGACUGUCACUACAACAAGCCAAAGCAGCCAAAUACGGAGGUGGACUGACGGGAUUCCUGGGAGCAGGUUAUCGAGGAGGAGCCGGCUGCCAAGGAAAAUACUGCGGGAGGAGAAGAAAGUAAAGGAUCUCUUGAGAUGUGAAGUGACCUCAAGAAACAUGGUGCUACUGCAUGCUCCAGAAUGUACUUUUGAUACUCAAACAAACAAUCCCAACAUGCACAAGUGUUAUGUUUUGUACUGAUCGUAAAUAUUUGUAACGAAUCCAAGAUCCCUGAAACGUCUAGUGUUUUGUGAAAAUAAUUCCAAUCCUAAUGGCACAUCCCAUCAUGUUACUGUUUCCUAUUAUAACCGGGUUGAUUAGCUGGCAAUGCUGUUGUGUAACUGUCAACGUUUUAACCACGACCUCUUAUUUGUGGACGUUUCUGAGACCAUCUGAAGCUCUUUUGAUCAGUUGCAGUCACAAUCUCACACUCUAGAUUCUUAAAAGUAGCGCCAUUUCUUGCCUGCACAACAUCAUCCAGCGUCCUCGCGACACAUCGGUGCUGCAGGUUUAGAGUGAGUGAAAGCAUCAGACUGCUGAUUAAAUACUUCACAUCUGGCUGUGCUUCAGCUCAGGGCUUUGCCUGUUAUUUUUACCCUUCAGCAGCUUUACGAUUACAGUCCUUUAUGGGUGACUCUCUCACACACACAAAUUAUAUUUUGCAUGAAGAAAUUUAAGCCUGUUUUAGGUAGGCAAUUAAACACAUAUUCCACCAAAAUUCUAACACAUUUGGUGCUUUAAUUAUUUGUAAUUAUUAAUUGUUAGGGUUAGUAUUCGUUCUUGCAUACUGUGUGAAGAGCUCUGCUCUGAUUAUGCUGAGAACAAGCAGAAGUGAAUGAUGCCUUACAUCUAAUAUCAAUCAUCUAUUUUGGUAUCUGUCAAACUGAAAGUAACUCUGUAAAACAGUAAUCAUAUUUCUAGUACAUUAUGUUUGUUUAAAGCUGGUAGAUUAAAAGAUGUGCUUAUGUUUUUCCCCGGACCCGGGAACUACAGGUGCUUCCAUCAUUUGACCAAGAAUGUGUUUCUUUAAUCCCUCUGUAUCACAUAGAAUUAGUUUAUAUAUAUACAGUAGUCAACAUUUGAAGUGGAUCAAAAAUGUUCAUCAAAGGUAUCCUAAGUCAAGAACUCAUUUUGUUUGUGUUUUUGGACAACUUUGAUGAAAGGUUUUGAUCCACUUCAAAUGUUGACUAGUGUAAUAUAUAUAUAUAUCAUACACUUACAGUAGACUGGAUCGUUAAACAAGUUACUUUGCCUUAUGUUGUUUUGAACCAUUUGAAAUUGACAUGUUGACCAAUUAUCGAGUUUGUACACAUCAUAUGACAAUAACUUCUUUGCUUUAAAUAGCUUCUGCAUUGUAGUCACUGUGGAACUUGCAAAACUGUGUGUGCUAUUUUAAGAUGUGAGUGUCUGUGUAUGUGUAGGUGAUGUAUGUAAAUCCCCUCAACAUGUGUGUGUGUGUGUGUGUGUGUCCGUCUGUCCCGAAAGCCUCACUAGCCAAUGUAUUAUCAAACAUAUAAUGUGUCAGUUUUUGCUAUACUUGGUUGAUACUGUUUUUCGAUCCAUCUAGAAAGACACUUUAUCAUGAAUUAAUGUACCUGGUGCUGUAUUUGACCUGCCUGUGAGCCCUACCAGGUCUUCUCUAUUGUGCUGUGGGAUUUCCAUCUUAUUUAAAUAAUGGGGCGGGGCUGUUGCACUUUUCCACAACCUAUAUCCUGACUAGUUCCCGGAAAUCCCGGCAUUUUACCUGCUCUAGUGAAAAAAAUGAAAUAAAAUAUAUUAAAAAACACA